ensembl:lncRNA
GCGUCUUCCUUUAUAAAAUGAGUUGUAAUUUUUUAAGAGCGAGUAGAUGGACACAGUCAAAGUUGCAAUUGAUUUGAAAGGAAAUGGACAUUUUUGAGGAGAUGCCCGAGAGGGGAAAGACUUCAUUUUAAUCCCGUAUUCGCUUCACUGGUCUGGAACCUGAGCAGCUCUAUCGUCUAAGGUAAGAGGAAUUAAAUGUUUUUUUUUAAUGUUUAAUCUUAGCAUUCAAUGGAGAGAAUACCUAUGAAAGAGAAAGUGUGCAUAGGCUACUCAAAUCAUGCAUGAUUAACGCGCACACUCGCAGUGUGGAUUCAAUGAGGCCCAUAUUUAAAUAUAUCGUUAUAUGUAGGACAAAAAUAUUAAAUUACAUAACAAGUCAGCAUCACACAGAGAGCAACCUAAUUGGCACGAUAAGAUUGAAAAUAAAUUGAAUUGUGGAAACUUACGGACUCAAGGCGGCCGUCAGCUUCAGGCUGUGGUGACGGUUCGGGUAAAGAGGCAUCAGGUGGGACAGCCGUAGUGCUGGCCGCUGCAGGAGUGCUACAGCUGGCAAACACCGAAACACCAAAUGUUUCCUGUCCCAAAGACCGAGAAGAAGGCGUCGUACUCCAUCCGCUUGGUGGGCAUCCAGUCCUCAAAUACUGAAGGUGCGUCCGUUUAAUGUGGCGAAAGAAAGAGUUAAAAACUCUAAAGUCCUGUUCACAUCCAUCAAUACCACAGUAAACCCCAAAAUCCGGGCUGCGACUGUGACUUUUAUUAAUGUGGCUAAGGAGUACUUUAAGACUUAAAGCAACAAAGACGAAACAUAUCAUACACCUCCACGCCGCCAUGAUGCACCGUUGUUGUCGCGGGCUAAUGAUCCAGGGGUGGAUGGGGAGGGGGGCACUCAUGAAAUAAUUUGUUAUUAUUUUAACAAUACAUUCCUCUAAUUAUAAAUGCGACUUAAUUAAUUUUACGAUGGUAAGUUUUUUAAAAAUAAUAUUUUGCUAACAUGUUCAUGUUUACGUCCGAUCAUUUCUGCGCAUCCUCAGUUCAUGUCCUCCAACGGUCCCACCUCAAUGACGUCAGUGUUCGCGGUUCACCGCUUGAGUAACUGAAAGAUUUGGGUGCGUUACAUUUGACGAAGAAGUGCAAGAAGAGCGGCUCAAUGUCAGUAAACUUUAUUGAAUUAGUAAAUAUUACUAUGUCGGUAUAUGCUUAGCAAGCUAGCUAAUUGUUAGCUAAUGUGCACUUUUACACGCUAGCCGUUAGCUAACGAACUCUGUUUGCCUAUGGGUUUUCCCGGGUAGUUCUACGGUACCGCCUGUUAAUGCUUCAGGGAGCUGAUGAAUCUAAGAUGGAUACUUUUGACGAUGCCACUCUAUCGGUGUUGGAGGCUGCCAGUGUUGAUGAGGAGGCUUUGAAAGGCCUUAGCCGGGAUGACCUGAGGGAUCUUUUUCCUGGCCCAGAGAAUUUCCUCAAAAGAAAGAAACUUUGGAAUUUCAUCAGUGAAAAUUGUGAAAAUACCACGGACCAAGAUGCCAACAAUUGUGCCAUGCCACCAUGCCAGCCUCAAACCUCAACCCCCAUAUCUGCUGAGAAAAAAAUGAAAAUGCCAGACCCUCCAGAGUAUGUGGUGUACACAGAUUCAGAGUUAGACAUGGUGCGUAGUCAAUACUUUGCACUGCUCUGCAAUGGAAAGGAAAAAAAUUACAAACUGUCCAAGGAGCUAUGUUGCAGACUUGUAAGGAACACAAUAACCAGUAUGGUUGCUAUCCUGCGUGCUAGUCCCAUGGGGAAAGAAGUCAGUUACCCGUCAAAAUUGGAAAUAAGAGCCAUGUCACAGAAGAUUAUAGACUAUUACCCAAUGUUACGGGAUGAUGAUCCAAACAUGCCUUAUCUGACUAUCUACACCAAAAUGUACAAGCGACUCCAAAAUAUGAGAUCCCCACGGAAGAGGCAAGGCUCUGUACCACAAAGAGGAGUGGCAAAGACAGCUCUCUUCAGUGCAGACAACCAAGACAUGGAGACGGAUUGGACAGACACAAGCAACUCAAGUGAUAAUACCUUACUUCUUGAGAGCAAUGAUGACCUUACCGAGGACAACUCCAGUGAAGCAUUCCCAGCACAUCGACCCCCCUCUGUGCCAAGGAAGCCAAAGACCAAAACCUUCCUGCUGCCAUCCGCAUCAGCCUCAGGCUCCUCACUCAGGACUGUGAUCGCUUCACCAACCACGCCUGCAAAGGAUGAUGUUGUCGGCCAGGACAGUCUGAAAAUGCAGGCUAGGCACUACAAAACCUUGAGCAACAUGUACAAUAAGCCAAAUGCAAAACCCAAUCAAAGUGAUGUUGCUCAAGUUUUAGACCUUGAGUUUAAGGCCAGACGGGCUUUCAUUGAUGCAGAUGUUACAAGGGAAGAAGACCGACCUGCAAAAAUCUUUGAGGCAUAUCCAUGCUUUAGAGAUGUUCGAAAUGCAAUGGAUGAGCUGCGGCGCAUAGUAGGUGGCACCAACAGCAGAUACAUCGAGGAAGUGAAAGGAAGAUGGGCAGACUUUUGUGCCAAGGUGCAGUUCUAUGGUGUGUGGAAGAAAGCCCUGAAACCCCCCUUUCCAUUGGAUGUCCGUGGAGUGGAGUUCACGCUUGCCCUCUUCAAUGCACUCCCAUCCCUUUUCCCCUCACCAACUUCACCACCAAAGAAGCUUGGAAAUAGCUGUGAGGCACUUCUUCAUGUCCUGAAGUCAGGCGAAGACCCUGCCCUGUACCUGGAAAAGCAUCCUCUCUCCUCCCCAGUUCUGCUUUCUGAUGGCUCAACCACCAUUGUGGCUGUGGGUAAUGUACCUGUGACCACCCUCCCUCAGGAAGAUUUCUCAGACGGGAUGUUGGUGUUAAUGGCAUAUUACUACACUUUGCACUUAAGAUAUCCAAAAUGUGUUGCAACGCUCCUGUCAGUUAUUCAAACAGAGGUAAUUGGUGACACAAUCCACGAUCAAGAUGCCACUAGUGCUUACAGGAAAGCAAUGGCUGAUUGGAAGUCUUUCAUUGAGAAGUAGCUGAGUAUUUUGUCAUGCCAGUUCUUAUUGUUAGCUGUGAGUUCUUAUUGUUAGCUGUGCCUAAUAAUAGUUUUGUGUUGCACAAGCUUAUACAGUCACUGAGUUAUUACCUCAUUUAGGCCUGUAUUUAAAAUGAUAGUUAAGGAAAAAUCCAUAACUGAGGGCUGAGAAGUGUUUUUGUUUUUUGCCCUUUUGCUUUUAAUUUCUUUUAUUUUUAUGGAAAAGUAUUCAAAUGUCUAUAGCAAACUUGACUUGCUGAUGUUAAAUAAAUGUUGUCUUAAGCCAUGUUAUUUCUGCACCAUUAUUCUAAAAAAGGACAGGCUUUAGAUUUUAAGAUGCUCAAAGUAAGAAAACAAAAUGGGUAAUUGCUUAUAUUUAGUAUAUUUCACUUAUUUUGAGGCUGUAAAAGUUUAAAUUUAAGUAAUCUAGUCUUAAAAACAGCAUUUUAUGCUUAUAUUUAGUAUAUUUCACUUAUU